CCAAAAUACUAGUCCCCAUAAGAUCUCCAAAGUUAAGCAACAUUGAACCUUGUCAAUACCUAGAUGGGUGACUGCUUGUGAAUACCAGGUGCUGUA